UCCGGCUUGUCACCGGCAGUUCCUCUAGAGUGCCCACCCAAACGUGCUGGCAACUAAAGGCGAGGGUUGCGCUCGUUGCGGGACUUAACCCAACAUCUCACGACACGAGCUGACGACAGCCAUGCAGCACCUGUGCAUCACGCCCCUUGCGGGGAAGGUCCAUCUCUGAACCAGUCGUGACCAUGUCAAGGGCUGGUAAGGUUCUUCGCGUUGCGUCGAAUUAAACCACAUGCUCCGCUGCUUGUGCGGGCCCCCGUCAAUUCCUUUGAGUUUCAACCUUGCGGCCGUAGUCCCCAGGCGGAUCACUUAAUGCGUUAGCUGCGGCACCGAGGGAAACCCCCCGACACCUAGUGAUCAUAGUUUAGGGCCAAGACUAC
rnacentral:misc_RNA from 1 species